UACGUAGGGGGCGAGCGUUGCCCGGAUUUAUUGGGCGUAAAGGGCGCGUAGGCGGUCACGCACGUCCGUUGUGAAAGCCCUUGGCUCAACUGAGGAAGUGCAUCCGAAACUGGCAGGCUAGAGUACUAAAGAGGAUCGCGGAAUUCCCGGUGUAGAGGUGAAAUUCGUAGAUAUCGGGAGGAACACCGGUGGCGAAGGCGGCGAUCUGGGUAGAUACUGACGCUGAGGUGCGAAAGCGUGGGGAGCAAACAGG
rnacentral:rRNA from 1 species